rnacentral:rRNA from 1 species
GGUGUCGUUACCGUGCCCUUAGUUUUCCCGGUUCCGUUUGGUUUGAUCUUGGUCCCUGAUAUCCCGGCGGAGGGGUGAGUAACACGUGGGUAACCUGCCUGUAAGAAGGGGAUAACUCCGGGAAACCGGGGCUAAUACCGGAUAACUCAUUUCCUCGCAUGAGGAAAUGUUGAAAGGUGGCUUCUGCUACCACUUUCAGAUGGACCCCCGGCGCAUUAACUAGUUGGUGAGGUAACCGCUCACCCAGGGAACGAUGCGUAGCCGAACUGAGAGGGUGAUCCGCCACACUGGGACUGAAACCCCGCCCAAACUCCUACGGGAAGCAGCAGUAAGGAAUCCUCCGCAAUGGAACAAAAUCUGACGGAGCAACGGCGCGUGAGUGAUGAAGGUUUCGGAUCGUAAAACUCUGGUUGUAGGGGAGAACAAGUGGCGGUCCAAUAAGGGGGCCCCUUGGAGGGACCUAACCAAAAAGCCCCGCUAAAUUCCUUGCCAGCGCCGCCGUUAAUACUAAGUGGAAGCGUUUUCCGGAUUAUUGGGCGGAAAGCGCGCGCGGGGGUUCCUAAAUCUGAUGGGGAACCCCCGGUCC